rnacentral:rRNA from 1 species
UACGUAGGUGGCAAGCGUUGUCCGGAUUUACUGGGCGUAAAGAGCGCGCAGGCGGUCGUUCAAGUCGCGUGUGAGAGCCCCCGGCUCAACUGGGGAGGGUCACGCGAUACUGAUCGACUUGAAGGCAGGAGAGGGUAGUGGAAUUCCCGGUGUAGUGGUGAAAUGCGUAGAUAUCGGGAGGAACACCAGUGGCGAAGGCGACUACCUGGCCUGUUCUUCGACGCUGAGGCGCGAAAGCUAGGGGAGCAAACGGG